AUUGAACGCUGGCGGCAUGCUUUACACAUGCAAGUCGAACGGCAGCACGGACUUCGGUCUGGUGGCGAGUGGCGAACGGGUGAGUAAUACAUCGGAACGUACCCAGUAACGGGGGAUAACUAUCCGAAAGGAUAGCUAAUACCGCAUACGCCCUACGGGGGAAAGAGGGGGAUCGCAAGACCUCUUGUUAUUGGAGCGGCCGAUGGCUGAUUAGCUAGUUGGUAGGGUAAAGGCCUACCAAGGCAACGAUCAGUAGCGGGUCUUAGAGGACGAUCCGCCACACUGGAACUGAGACACGGUCCAGACUCCUACGGGAGGCAGCAGUGGGGAAUCUUGGACAAUGGGCGCAAGCCUGAUCCAGCAAUGCCGCGUGCGUGAAGAAGGCCUUCGGGUUGUAAAGCGCUUUUGUCAGGGAGCAAAUCCCUGUGGCUAAUACCCACCGGGGAUGAGAGUACCUGAAGAAUAAGGACCGGCUAACUACGUGCCAGCCGCCGCCGUAACAC
rnacentral:rRNA from 1 species